AUACGUAGGGGGCAAGCGUUAUCCGGAUUUACUGGGUGUAAAGGGAGCGUAGACGGUAAAGCAAGUCUGAAGUGAAAGCUCGGGGCUCAACCCCGGAACUGCUUUGGAAACUGUUUUACUGGAGUGCAGGAGAGGUAAGCGGAAUUUCUAGUGUAGCGGUGAAAUGCGUAGAUAUUAGGAGGAACACCAGAGGCGAAGGCGGCUUACUGGACUGUAACUGACGUUGAGGCUCGAAGGCGUGGGGAGCAAACAGGAUUAGAUACCCUGGUAGUCCACGCGGUAAACGAUGAUCACUAGGUGUCGGCGGCCAUAGGCGGUCGGUGCCGCAGCAAACGCAAUAAGUGAUCCACCUGGGGAGUACGUUCGCAAGAAUGAAACUCAAAUGAAUUGGCGGGG
rnacentral:rRNA from 1 species